rnacentral:misc_RNA from 1 species
UUAAGUUCAGCGGGUAUCCCUACCUGAUCCGAGGUCAAACCAAAGAAGUUGGGGUUGCUGGCCAGCCACCACCGGGACCCAAGAGCGAGGAGAUAUUACUACGCUGAGGGCCCGACGCGCCGCCACUGAUUUUAAGGCCUGCCGGGACGGCGGGGCCCAAGACAAGCCAGGCUUGAGGGGUGUUGAUGACGCUCGAACAG